GAUGAAGAACUCAGCGAAAUGCGAUAAGUAAUGUGAAUUGCAGAAUUCAGUGAAUCAUCGAAUCUUUGAACGCACAUUGCGCCCGCCAGUAUUCUGGCGGGCAUGCCUGUUCGAGCGUCAUUUCAACCAUCAAGCCCUGCUUGCGUUGGGGUCCUGCGGCUGCCCGCAGGCCCUGAAAACCAGUGGCGGGCUCGCUAGUCACACCGAGCGCAGUAAUACAUCUCGCUUUGGGCGUGCGGCGGGUUCUUGCCGUUAAACACCCCCUUUUUACCAAGGUUGACCUCGGAUCAGGUAGGAAUACCCGCUGAACUUAAGCAUAUCAAUAAGCGGAGGA
rnacentral:misc_RNA from 1 species